rnacentral:lncRNA from 1 species
CUGCCACUGAUUUUAGCAUCAGAGUAAUCAAAGCUUGACUGCCACUGAGAGAUCCAAACAUUCACAAACCUGAGAGUCUUGGUGGCUAAACUGCCACAACCAAGAACAUACUGAGUCAGAUCCUUUUUACCUCCUAAUAUGUGAGGCCUGAAGCUCAGUUUCUGUGAAUUCCUUCCUUGGAAACAGCUACAUAAUUUUCAGGGCCCUGUGCAAAGUAAAACUGCAUGCUCCUUGUUCAAAAAGUAUGAAGAAUUUUAGGAAUCUUUCUGCAGAUCAUUCAAUGAAGCAUGCAGGGCAUUUCUGAGGUUCCUCAUUCAGAGAUGAGGAAACCGAGACAUUCAGGAGCUUACUAGGUCUCACAACAAAAAAGAACCUAAACUGGGAUUCAAACUCAGGGCACCAAAUCCAAGACUUCUCAUUGUUCCUGGAGCCAGCCCAGGUGAUUCACCAAUCAGCCAGUGGAAGGGGCUCUGUUUUACUGAACUGAGAUUUCUUGGACAGUGUGGACCUCAAGAGACAUUUUGCAUAAGAUGUAGAAAGUGGAAGUGAAGCAGUAGCCAUCUUGUUUUUUUAUGCUUGGAAGAUGGAUGCAGGGCUCCAAGCACUGUUGGAACUCAUGCAUGUUGUCACUUAUCCACAAGCUCACCUUGUUGGUGAGGGGCAGCAGCUGGGCUCCUGCCAGAUCCUCCUGCUGCAUCAAUUUCCCUGAAUCCUGGACCAGAUGCAUAUUUAGCUCCAUGAUGGAAGGCACCAGUUUCUCCUUCAUUCAGCUUGCCUUUUCUUCCUCUGCUUCCCAUCCAUCUUCUUUGCCCAGCUGUCUGUGGACUUCAGGUGCCAGCACCAGGCCAGAAACUACAGCUUUAUAUCCAAACUCAGACCUCUUCACCAGUUUCCACAGCACUGUAAGGACAAAUCCCUACAAUUAAGAAAUAUAUAUUUCUUAAUUGAAAAUUAAGAAAUUGAAAAUUGAAAAAUAUAUAUUUACUUAUGUAAAUAUAUAUUUAUAUGUGUAAAG